GUCCCAGUUAUCACCGCCGCCGCCUGUAUCCUCCCAGCGGAGGCCGGUGUCCUCUUCUCCCUCCCUGGCCGAUGAGACGUGUGCUGAGGCAGCCCAUCAGGUCACCCUUCUCUCCCUCCGGACGAGGCUCGCCUUCCUCUUCCUCCAGGCCGCCGAGACGCGUAGAGAGGCAGCCAUCGAGGCACCCUUCACUCUUUCUCGAGGUGUCCGACGGCGUGGAGGAGAGGAGUACGAUGCGCCUACCUCUUUCCUAGGGGGGAGGAUGUAAUUGGCGCCCUCCUCUACCUCCCGAGGCAGUGGGGAAAUGGGAGGAGCUGACGGGAGGGGUUAUGUGCCCAAUCUCCUUCUCAAGACGGCUAUUGGCGCGGAGGAGGACAUGGGUAUCCUCCUCUCCCUCCCGAGAAAGAUCGGCUAUGGGAGGAUCCGACGCUGACGAUGCCCUUCUUCUAAAUGUAUCCGCCGCCAGGCAGGAUCGACUGAAUUCUUAAGAUGUUUGCUUCCAGUGGCUGAAGAUACAAUGAAAUAUUUCGCAAAGAAUGGGGGUGCAAGAAUGAAUAAUAGCAAUUGUGUUUUUCUGCAAGCAUGAUCAAAUGCUAGCUGUAUUUAUUUCCUAUUCAAAUUAUGUGUCACCAUUGAGCCUAUCUAAAGUACCUGCUGAAGCACCAUUUUUGUAUGCAUAGUACUGUGAGUACUUUUGUAUCAAUGAGCAUCAGUGUGAAACCAAAUUGGCAAUUCUCAGUUGAAGGCAUAUAGUUUCUACUUUCUACUAUUUCUGAUUAGGUUUGUAUUUUCUGUAUUUCUGCAGCCGUUGCUGCAAAUAUGUAGAGGGAUAAGGUGUACAUCAAUCUGUCAACCAGCAAUUUAAUUUACCAGUUAGACCUUUCUUUGAUUGACACUAGACAGCUGCGAGGUUUUCAGACAUAUAUAUUUGUUUCCAAGUACCACAGUGGCUAGGAUCGGAGAGAACAUCAUCGCCGAUGAGCAGGAGAGGGCCGCGAGGCUCCUGGAGGCCAGGACGAGAAGGAGGCGUCCGCAGCGGUUACCAGUGCGUAGCAAGAGCCGCGUCACCUCCUCAAUAAAGUCCAAUGAUGUGAUAGCUCAUCCAUUCAUCCAUCUGAUCAAUGAUCAUGCUGGGGAUUGAACCGUCAAGUGGAGGAGGACAAUCAGGUGCUCUCAAGGCAGCACUUAUGAACCCAUUCAUUCUACAAAAUAUACCUAUUUCUCAGAUUUUCAGGUUAGUCAUGAUUUUGUUUUCCUUAUGUAAGAUUACUGAGGCCACUUCCUUUUUUAUGUGCCUUGAAAAACUAUGAUGGUCUUCAGAUAUUCUAAACUGCACACAAGUAUUUUGUUCUUAGCGGAUUUCCAUAUUUGUGUGAAAUUCGGAUAAAUCAAAAGAUUAUUUUUCUUUAAAUAGCAUGAUCAUCAUGUGCCAGAUGCAGAUUCCUAUUUCAGCUGCUGGACCUGCACGGCAUGGAUGCAACUGUAGCUAUUACAAAUGGGAAAAGAGCUUUGGAAGAUGAAGUGGGUCCCGGUGGGAAGAAGAGACGUCAUGGCAUUAAUCC